rnacentral:rRNA from 2 species
UGCAAGUCGAGCGGAGAUUUGAAAAGCUUGCUUUUCAAAUCUUAGCGGCGGACGGGUGAGUAACACGUGGGCAACCUGCCCUUGAGACGGGGAUAACUCCGGGAAACCGGAGCUAAUACCGGAUAACACAUAUCUUCGCAUGAGGAUAUGUUAGAAGGUGGCUUUUAGCUACCACUCAAGGAUGGGCCCGCGGCGCAUUAGCUAGUUGGUGAGGUAACGGCUCACCAAGGCGACGAUGCGUAGCCGACCUGAGAGGGUGAUCGGCCACACUGGGACUGAGACACGGCCCAGACUCCUACGGGAGGCAGCAGUAGGGAAUCUUCCGCAAUGGACGAAAGUCUGACGGAGCAACGCCGCGUGAGUGAUGAAGGUUUUCGGAUCGUAAAGCUCUGUUGUUAGGGAAGAACAAGUACCUGUUAAAUAAGCAGGUACCUUGACGGUACCUAACCAGAAAGCCACGGCUAACUACGUGCCAGCAGCCGCGGUAAUACGUAGGUGGCAAGCGUUGUCCGGAAUUAUUGGGCGUAAAGCGCGCGCAGGCGGUUCCUUAAGUCUGAUGUGAAAGCCCACGGCUCAACCGUGGAGGGUCAUUGGAAACUGGGGAACUUGAGUGCAGAAGAGGAGAGCGGAAUUCCACGUGUAGCGGUGAAAUGCGUAGAGAUGUGGAGGAACACCAGUGGCGAAGGCGGCUCUCUGGUCUGUAACUGACGCUGAGGCGCGAAAGCGUGGGGAGCGAACAGGAUUAGAUACCCUGGUAGUCCACGCCGUAAACGAUGAGUGCUAAGUGUUAGAGGGUUUCCGCCCUUUAGUGCUGCAGCAAACGCAUUAAGCACUCCGCCUGGGGAGUACGGUCGCAAGACUGAAACUCAAAGGAAUUGACGGGGACCCGCACAAGCGGUGGAGCAUGUGGUUUAAUUCG